rnacentral:rRNA from 1 species
CAACGCCGCGUGAGGGACGACGGCCUUCGGGUUGUAAACCUCUUUUAGCAGGGAAGAAGCGAAAGUGACGGUACCUGCAGAAAAAGCACCGGCUAACUACGUGCCAGCAGCCGCGGUAAUACGUAGGGUGCAAGCGUUAUCCGGAAUUAUUGGGCGUAAAGAGCUCGUAGGCGGUUUGUCGCGUCUGCUGUGAAAACUGGGGGCUCAACCCCCAGCCUGCAGUGGGUACGGGCAGACUAGAGUGCGGUAGGGGAGAUUGGAAUUCCUGGUGUAGCGGUGGAAUGCGCAGAUAUCAGGAGGAACACCGAUGGCGAAGGCAGAUCUCUGGGCCGUAACUGACGCUGAGGAGCGAAAGGGUGGGGAGCAAACAGGCUUAGAUACCCUGGUAGUCCACCCCGUAAACGUUGGGAACUAGUUGUGGGGUC